rnacentral:lncRNA from 1 species
GCCCCAGAGGUCAUGCGAGGUUGUAAGUACUAUUAAAUUCUGGAUGACGUGAUGUAAUAAAGUACUUUGACCUUUGUUUCUGUAUAUCUCAUCAUGAAACUGUGUGUGCUAGUGAGUCGAUCCAGGGACUAGCACGGUGAGCACAGAGACCGAACCCUUGGUGAAGGGGGGGGGGGAUCGCUUCAACAUGCAUCUCUUCCUUACGAGGUUGUGCUGGCUCAUCAUCAUUCUUUUCGUCUAAAGACUCACCAUGAAAAACCCAUUUGUCAUAACUCUAAAGAAUUCCAUUGCAGACCAGGUGACCACGAAUAUCAUUCUUUGAUAGUAGAGAAGUGUGCACACAGCUUUCACAUGGACAUAGGAUCUUGGUAUCCUCUGGCUUAUCUUUAUAUGCAAAUUCCAGAAAUCCAUCCACACCAGCUACGUACUCCGAAGUUCCUCUUGGAUAACACAAAAGCAACUUGAUAGCUUCUAAAACCAUAUCAACACUGUAUAAAGAGUUUAGUCUAAAUAAGCGAUCUAACAAAAAAAAAAUCCAACCAUGCAUCAAACAAGAUGGCAGUAUUAUCAAGCAUCUCAAACAGUAACAUGAAAAUCAAUAAUACUAUGCUAAAAGUAUUAUCACCAGCAUAAAUUAGAAAAGUUGCAAAAUAACAGAUUUUCCCCCCAGCUGUAACACAAAGCAUUGCCAC